GAUGAACGCUGGCGGCGUGCCUAAUACAUGCAAGUCGAGCGAACGGACGAGAAGCUUGCUUCUCUGAUGUUAGCGGCGGACGGGUGAGUAACACGUGGAUAACCUACCUAUAAGACUGGGAUAACUUCGGGAAACCGGAGCUAAUACCGGAUAAUAUUUUGAACCGCAUGGUUCAAAAGUGAAAGACGGUCGUGCUGGCACUUAUAGAUGGAUCCGCGCUGCAUUAGCUAGUUGGUAAGGUAACGGCUUACCAAGGCAACGAUGCAUAGCCGACCUGAGAGGCUGAUCGGCCACACUGGAACUGAGACACGGUCCAGACUCCUACGGGAGGCAGCAGUAGGCAAUCUUCCGCAAUGGGCGAGAGCCUGACGGAGCAACGCCGCGUGAGUGAUGGAGGUCUUCGGAUCGUAAAACUCUGUUAUUAGGGAAAAACCUAUGUGUAAGUAACUGUGCCCAUCUUGACGGUACCUAGUCAGAAAGCCACGGCUAACUACGUG
rnacentral:rRNA from 1 species